AUUGAACGCUGGCGGCAGGCCUAACACAUGCAAGUCGAGCGGAGCGGCGGACGGGUGAGUAAUGCCUAGGAAGCUGCCUGGUAGUGGGGGAUAACGUCCGGAACCGGGCGCUAAUACCGCAUACUAUCAGAUGAGACUAGGUCGGAGUAGCUAGUUGGUGGGGUAAAGGCCUACAAAGGCGACGAUCCGUAACUGGUCUGGGAGGAUGAUCAGUCACACGGGAACUGAGACACGGUCAAUGCUCCUACGGGAGGCAGCAGUGGGGAAUAUUGGACAACGGGCGAAAGCCUGAUCCAGCCAGGCCGCGUGUGUGAAGAAGGUCUUCGGAUUGUAAAGCACUUUAAGUUGUGAGGCGGUACCAACAGAAUAAGCACCGGCUAACUUCGUGCCAGCAGCCGCGGUAAUUC
rnacentral:rRNA from 1 species